GAAAUGCUUUAAUUAUUAUUUGAGUCAAGUAACAGUGGAAUCAAGAGACAGAGAGCCCACCGUGCUGCUAUAACAUGAAACGCUACUUUAACAUCCAAGAUGAUAAUAAUAGUGAUGAUGUAGUGACCAUAUUGUUCUCUAGGUGUCAGUGUUAUAGUGAUGAUGUAGUGACCGUACUGUUCUCUAGGUGUCAGUGUUAUAGUGAUAAUGUAGUGACUGUACUGUUCUCUAGGUGUCAGUGUUAUAGUGAUGAUGUAGUGACAAUAUUGUUCUCUAGGUGUCAGUGUUAUAGUGAUGAUGUAGUGACCGUACUGUUCUCUAGGUGUCAGUGUUACAGUGAUAAUGUAGUGACCAUAUUGUUUCUCUAGGUGUCAGUGUUAUAGUGAUAAUGUAGUGACCAUAUUGUUCUCUCGGUGUCAGUGUUAUAGUGAUGAUGUAGUGACCAUAUUGUUCUCUAGGUGUCAGUGUUGUAGUGAUGAUGUAGUGACCAUAUUGUUCUCUAGGUGUCAGUGUUGUAGUGAUGAUGUAGUGACCGUACUGUUCUCUAGGUGUCAGUGUUAUAGUGAUGAUGUAGUGACCAUAUUGUUCUCUAGGUGUCAGUGUUAUAGUGAUGAUGUAGUGACCAUAUUGUUUCUCUAGGUGUCAGUGUUGUAGUGAUGAUGUAGUGACCGUACUGUUCUCUAGGUGUCAGUGUUAUAGUGAUAAUGUAGUGACUGCAUUGUUCUCUAGGUGUCAGUGUUAUAGUGAUGAUGUAGUGACCAUAUUGUUUCUCUAGGUGUCAGUGUUAUAGUGAUGAUGUAGUGACCAUAUUGUUUCUCUAGGUGUCAGUGUUAUAGUGAUGAUGUAGUGACCGUACUGUUCUCUAGGUGUCAGUGUUAUAGUGAUAAUGUAGUGACUGCAUUGUUCUCUAGGUGUCAGUG